rnacentral:rRNA from 1 species
AACGAACGCUGGCGGCAUGCCUAACACAUGCAAGUCGAACGAGACCUUCGGGGCUAGUGGCGCACGGGUGCGUAACGCGUGGGAACCUGCCCUUAGGUUCGGAAUAACUCCCCGAAAGGGGUGCUAAUACCGGAUAAUGUCUUCGGACCAAAGAUUUAUCGCCUUUGGAUGGGCCCGCGUUGGAUUAGCUAGUUGGUAGGGUAAAAGCCUACCAAGGCGACGAUCCAUAGCUGGUCUGAGAGGAUGAUCAGCCACACUGGGACUGAGACACGGCCCAGACUCCUACGGGAGGCAGCAGUGGGGAAUAUUGGACAAUGGGCGAAAGCCUGAUCCAGCAAUGCCGCGUGAGUGAUGAAGGCCUUAGGGUUGUAAAGCUCUUUUACCCGGGAUGAUAAUGACAGUACCGGGAGAAUAAGCCCCGGCUAACUCCGUG